rnacentral:rRNA from 1 species
GACGAACGCUGGCGGCGUGCUUAACACAUGCAAGUCGAACGGAAAGGCCCUUCGGGGUGCUCGAGAGGCGAACGGGUGAGUAACACGUGGGUGAUCUGCCCUGCACUUUGGGAUAAGCCUGGGAAACUGGGUCUAAUACCGAAUACACCCUGCUGGUUGCAUGACCUGGUGGGGGAAAGCUUUUGCGGUGUGGGAUGGGCCCGCGGCCUAUCAGCUUGUUGGUGGGGUGAUGGCCUACCAAGGCGACGACGGGUAGCCGGCCUGAGAGGGUGACCGGCCACACUGGGACUGAGAUACGGCCCAGACUCCUACGGGAGGCAGCAGUGGGGAAUAUUGCACAAUGGGCGCAAGCCUGAUGCAGCGACGCCGCGUGGGGGAUGACGGCCUUCGGGUUGUAAACCUCUUUCUGUAGGGACGAAGCGCAAGUGACGGUACCUACAGAAGAAGGACCGGCCAACUACGUGCCAGCCGCCGCAGUAAAAC